rnacentral:rRNA from 1 species
UAGGGAAUCUUCCGCAAUGGACGCAAGUCUGACGGAGCAACGCCGCGUGAGUGAAGAAGGAUUUCGGUUCGUAAAACUCUGUUGUUAGAGAAGAACAGCGCAUAGAGUAACUGUUAUGCGUGUGACGGUAUCUAACCAGAAAGCCACGGCUAACUACGUGCCAGCAGCCGCGGUAAUACGUAGGUGGCAAGCGUUGUCCGGAUUUAUUGGGCGUAAAGCGAGCGCAGGCGGUCAAUUAAGUCUGAUGUGAAAGCCCCCGGCUCAACCGGGGAGGGUCAUUGGAAACUGGUUGACUUGAGUGCAGAAGAGGAGAGUGGAAUUCCAUGUGUAGCGGUGAAAUGCGUAGAUAUAUGGAGGAACACCAGUGGCGAGGGCGACUCUCUGGUCUGUAACUGACGCUGAGGUUCGAAAGCGUGGGUAGCAAACAGG